AUGGGGCCUGCCUCUACUACGGCCCCAUCAGUCUUCCCACUGGUCUCCAGCUGUGGGGACACAUCUGGCCCCACGGUGGCCCUGGGCUGCCUGGUCUCUGGCUACUUCCCAGAGCCGGUGACCGUGUCCUGGAACUCAGGCGGACUGACCAGAGGCGUGCACACCUUUCCAUCCGUCCUGCAGUCCUCGGGGCUCUACACCCUCAGCGUGGUGAUCGUGCCUGCCAGCAGCUUGGAGGGCCAUGCCUACAUCUGCAACGUAGCCCACCCGGCCAGCAGCACCAAGGUGGACAAGACAAUCGUGUCCGGCCCAAUCCCAUGGAUCGAUAGGUCACAGUGUCCCAAAUGCACAGGUCCUGAACUCCCAGGAGGGCCUUCGGUCUUCAUCUUCCCCCCAAAACCCAAGGACGUCCUCACAAUCUCCCGAAAGCCCGAGGUCACCUGCGUGGUGGUAGACUUGGGCCAUGAAGACCACGAUGUCCAGUUCACCUGGUAUGUGGAUGGCACAGAGGUGAACACAGCUACAACGAAGCCGAAGGAGGAGCAGUUCAACAGCACCUACCGCGUGGUCAGCGUCCUCCCCAUCCAACACCAGGACUGGCUGAGUGGAAAGGAGUUCAAGUGUAGGGUCAGCAACGAAGCCCUCCCAGCCCCCAUUGAGAGGAACAUCUCCAAGGCCAAAGGGCAGGCCCGGGAACCACAGGUGUACGUCCUGCCCCCACACCAGGAUGAGUUGGCCAAGGACACGGUCAGUGUCACCUGCCUGGUCAAAGACUUCUACCCACCUGAGGUCAACGUCGAGUGGCAGAGCAACGGGGAGUCAGAGCCGGAGGGCAAGUACAGAACCACCCCACCCCAGCUGAACGCUGAUGGGUCCUACUUCCUGUACAGCAAGCUCUCGGUGGAGACAAACAGGUGGAAGCAGGGAGUCAAGUUCACGUGUGUGGUGAUGCACGAGGCUCUCCACAAUCACUACACGGAGAAAUCUACCUCCCAGUCUCCGGAGGUGGUCCUGGACGAGAGCUGUGCUGAGACACAGGUCGGGGAGCUGGACGGGCUGUGGACCACCAUCUCCAUCUUCAUCACGCUCUUCCUGCUCAGCGUGUGCUACAGUGCCACCGUCACCCUCUUCAAGGUGAAGUGGAUCUUCUCCUCGGUGGUGGAGCUGAAGCGGACCAUCGUCCCCGACUACAGGAACAUGAUCGGGCAGGGGGCCUAGGGCCACUCCUCCUGGGUGGGCGUCCCGGGCCGCCCCGGACCCCAGACAGGAUCCAGGUCCGUCAGUUCAUGCUGCUCAGCCUGCCGCCCAGACCUGCUCCUCUGCCCUCUGAACUCGCCAGACUCUGACCUCAUGGCCCCUU